rnacentral:rRNA from 1 species
ACGAACGCUGGCGGCGUGCUUAACACAUGCCAGUCGAACGGAAAGGCCCUGCUUUUGUGGGGUGCUCGAGUGGCGAACGGGUGAGUAACACGUGAGUAACCUGCCCUUGACUUUGGGAUAACUUCAGGAAACUGGGGCUAAUACCGGAUAGGAGCUCCUGCUGCAUGGUGGGGGUUGGAAAGUUUCGGCGGUUGGGGAUGGACUCGCGGCUUAUCAGCUUGUUGGUGGGGUAGUGGCUUACCAAGGCUUUGACGGGUAGCCGGCCUGAGAGGGUGACCGGCCACAUUGGGACUGAGAUACGGCCCAGACUCCUACGGGAGGCAGCAGUGGGGAAUAUUGCACAAUGGGCGGAAGCCUGAUGCAGCAACGCCGCGUGCGGGAUGACGGCCUUCGGGUUGUAAACCGCUUUCGCCUGUGACGAAGCGUGAGUGACGGUAAUGGGUAAAGAAGCACCGGCUAACUACGUGC